rnacentral:lncRNA from 1 species
AGUUCACAAUCCAUCAUUGAUCAAAGUUAGGGCAGGAACCUGAUGCAGAAACCUUGGAGGAAUAUUGCUUGCUGGCUCUUCUCUCUGGCUCACUCAUGUUCUGGUAUCUUCUUUAUUCUUCCCAGGGAAUUGUACCAACCACAGUGGUCUGGGCCCUUUUAUGUGAUUGUUAAUCAGGACAAUCCCUCAUAGACAUCCUCACAGACCAACCUGAUAAAGCUUAUUAUUCAGCUCAUUUUCUUUUUCAAUGUCAUUUGAGACUGUCAAUACUAAGACACCAUAUGUGUUUUAUGAAUGCAUGUACUUACAAAUACUUAGGUUAGUUAGGUUGGUUGGUUGGUUGGUUGGUUUUGAUACUGCAUUUUAAUUGCAACAUUUAUCCCUUCCUUUUCCUUCUUUCAAAUCCUCCCAUAUACCCCAUCCACUCUCCUUCAAAUUUAUAGCCUCUUUUUCAUUGUUAUUAUAUACACAUUUGUAUAUACAUAUAUAUUCCUAAAUAUAAUCUGUUGAGUCCAUAUAAUGUUAUAUAUAUAUAUAUAUAUAUAUAUAUAUGUUUUCAGAGCUAAACAUUUAGCACUACACAACUAAUUAGUAUACUCUUCCCUAGGAGAGUCACCUCUGCAGCUCUAAGCUUUACUCACUUGCCUGUAGUUCUUUGUGUAGAACUAAGGCCUCGUGGACUUUUCUCUGUUCAGUUUGGCAUGCUUAUUGGUAUUCUUUCUUAUUUCACUCAUAUUUGGGCAGUCAUGUUAACAAAACUGUGUAGGUAUAGCUUCUGAUAUUACUAGAAGACACAAUCUCACAAUAAACUCACUGAUCUGGCUUUUAUAAUCUUUACAUGGCCCCUGCCUCCUGCAAUGUUCCCUGAUCCUUGGUGUGGGGGUGCUUUGUAGAUAUAUCAUUGGACUGGCAACUCCUCAACUCUGCAUAUUGACUGGUUGUGGUCUCUAAUUUUGACAAAGGAAAAUUUCCAUAAUGAAGGAUGAAGACUACACUUAUCCGUGGGUAUAAGAGCAAAUAUUUAUAGAGUGUUAUUAGGGAAUAUGCUGGUUUGGUAUAUUAGUGGUUGCAGAUUCUUCUUCAAUAGCAAUGAUGUCGCUAUCACUGAUUAGGUAGCUAUGUUUAAAGUACGAGGCAUAGUACCCUCUUGUUGAGCAGCUCUCAAUUUCAAUUAGUAAGUGUUUGGGUAUUGCAAAGAUGUGUGUGCCAUUGCUAAGCUUUAGGUUUAUCAUACUCUUCUUGUCACUGAUGUUGUUCAUAGGUAACAUAGCUGGGUCGGUCUGAUGACUCCAUCCUCCUUUGGAAGCUUACAUGGCAAGUACCUUGAAAUCUAGUCCUCGGGGAGGGUACCAUUUGUGUCAAUACCAUCUUAGGACCCUGUUUCUAAAGUGCUAGUUGUUUUCAGCAAUAGAAACACACCUUUCAUUCUUAAGUUAAUUCUUUACUUUAGCUAUUGUUUAUACUGCUGCAGUACUCAUGAGAGUGCUGAUUUUUCUUCAAUAUAGUAACUUCAUCUCCUAAGGCUGUAUGCCAUCUAUAGAAUUAAUAAACUAUAUCACAUGGU